rnacentral:sRNA from 1 species
UCCCGGCGGAGGAGUGGCCAAGGAAGU